UACGUAGGGUGCAAGCGUUGUCCGGAAUUAUUGGGCGUAAAGAGCUCGUAGGCGGUCUGUCGCGUCUGCUGUGAAAACCCGGGGCUCAACCCCGGGCUUGCAGUGGAUACGGGCAGACUAGAGUUCGGUAGGGGAGACUGGAAUUCCUGGUGUAGCGGUGAAAUGCGCAGAUAUCAGGAGGAACACCGGUGGCGAAGGCGGGUCUCUGGGCCGAUACUGACACUGAGAGACGAAAGCUAGGGGAGCAAAUGGG
rnacentral:rRNA from 1 species